UACGUAGGUGGCAAGCGUUGUCCGGAUUUACUGGGCGUAAAGAGCGCGCAGGCGGUCGUUCAAGUCGCGUGUGAAAGCCCCCCGGCUCAACUGGGGAGGGUCACGCGAUACUGAUCGACUCGAAGGCAGGAGAGGGUAGUGGAAUUCCCGGUGUAGUGGUGAAAUGCGUAGAUAUCGGGAGGAACACCAGUGGCGAAGGCGACUACCUGGCCUGUUCUUGACGCUGAGGCGCGAAAGCUGGGAGGCAAACGGGG
rnacentral:rRNA from 1 species